CAUUGCUGGUUGAGAGCAGCACGGCCUAACAAGAGACCACCACAAGCUGUAUUCCUGUGUAAGGAAGGAGAGACUGCGUUGAGAAUGUGGCAAGCUACUGCUUCUACCAUACAGCUUGGAUGGACUUGCUGUAGUUCCUGGUGCCCCCACAGAAUAAAAAUGGAAAAGUUGCAAUGUCCCUCAUAUCUCAGAGACAGACUGUAUGACAUGAGGCUGACAAAGUCCCUCUUCAAUGUUGGAUUGGUGCUCUAUCUUUCAGACAUCUAUCCAAUAUAUUAAACCAGAGUCAUCCAUAUAGUAACCAUCAUUCUGGGGAUGGAAGAAGUUAUG